UCAGGCUAAGCCCUUUUAUACACAGGUGGGCUCUGCCUCCGGCUUUCCUAUUGGUCUAUAUUUUUAACUCUAUCUCUUCCCCCUGUUCAAAUAUUUUCUAAACAAACGGGCAAAUGCCACAGGGCCCAACUGGGCACCAUAGAGAAGUUGUGAAGGGACAAUCUCCUAGUGCAAAGAUGGCCUCCUACUUUCCCACCUAGCGUGCUCCCUGAACUGCUGGACUGAUGAGGUAUUGUGAGAGGCAUUUGGUUCCUCAGGGGAAGGAACCCAUGAGAGUCCUGGCUUUGAUUCUAUGGGCUUUGCUCCCAUGGAAGAUUGUUCUGUGGGUUCCUGUCUGUCAGCUUCAGACUGAUUGGGUUUCUGCUCUCCAGAAGCAGCUUCACAACCCUGAAACUAGUCCAGCUCCUUGGGGGAUGGAAUGGAAGUCCAGCAAGCAAACACCAGACCUCUUUUUUCAAUCAGUAGCUGAGCUGAAUUCCACACAGUCACAAAAACAAAAAAGCCACAGAAGGAAAAUCGCAAAAUAAAUAGCAAAAACAGACAGGCCUCAGCGUAACACUCAAAAAGGUAGUGUGGCACUCAAACUGGAAGCGUAACACUCAAAACAGAGCACGAUUGACUUCCGAAAAAAGUUUGCAAACCAUAACACUUCCGGGUUAGCAGUGUUUGGGUUCCAAGUUGUUUGAGUACCAAGGCGUUUGAGAACCAAGGGACCACUGUAUAUGGUAUGCCCCGUGGAGGACCUUAAGGUCCACAAAUGGCAACAUUUUGGAGGUCCCAGGUCGCAAGGUGGUUAGAUUGGUCUCAACUAGAGCCAGGGCCUUUUCAGUACUGGCCCUGACUUGGUGGAACGCUCCGUCACAAGAGACUAGGGCCCUGUGGGACUUGACAUCUUUCUGCAGGGCCUGCAAGGCAGAGCUGUUCUGCCUGGUCUUUGGUUUGAAGUCAGUCUGACCCUUAUGUCUUCCCUCCCCUUACGGUUUUGAUCUAUGGGCUACUUUUAAAAUGAGGCUACAUUUUAAAUUGCAUUUUAACCUGUAUUUUAAAUUGGUUUUUUCCUAUUAUGUUUUUACUGUAAUUUUAUUGGUGUUAGCCGCCCUGAGCCUGGCUCUGGCCAGGGAGGACAGGGUAUAAAUAAAAUUUAUUAUUAUUAUUAUUAUUAUUAUUAUUAUUAUUGCAAGGAGAUGCCACCAGGGCUAAAGUCUGGUAGGAAGCACAAGCUCAAUGGGCCUCCUAAAUCCAGAGGGGAGGAAGUGGCUGGCGGUUGUCCAGUGUAACCCAAAGAAAGCUCUCUGCACGUGCUCAGAAGUGCAUUCCUUACAGCUUCAGGAUCUCCAACCAUUCAUUUCUCGGUUGCAGCCCAAGGCAGCGAAGCCACAAGGAUCCAGGGAUUCGUUUUCCGGUGCCGCCCAACCUAUCAACUGCUUACCUGCCCAACGUUGCUGGCUGGGGUCAGUCGAGUUUUCUUUUUCGCCCAUUGCUGUGACUUCUGCCUCUUUGGUCGUUUCCUGCUUGCCUGGGAUUGCACUGGGAAUUGCAGAUUGAGGACACGUAGGGAGACAGGCCCACAAGUCCCAGUGACCUGCAGAGUGGACCGUAAGAUUAUAAGGUGCUGCCCUAUAUGGAGCCAGAUCAUUGGUCCAUCUAGUUCAGUGUUGGCUACAUUGGCUGGCAGCAGCAACUUUCCAGCGUUUCAAGCAGAGGAUUUAUUGCCCAGGACUGAACCUGGGACCUCCUCCAUGCGAAGGAUGUGCUGUACCAAGGAGCAGUGGGCUCUUCCCCUGUUAUUUGGGGCAUCUACUUGGCAUGCAGAAGGCCUUGGGUUCCAUCCCUGGCAUCUCCAGGUAGGGCCAAGAUGGGAAAGGCUAAAACCCUGGACAGCCACCGACCGUCAGUGUACACCAGUAUUGAACUGGCCUAGUUCUUUAAAGACUUUUUUAUUUGAGUUUUUCAACAAUGCAAUUAUAGUAGCAUACAAAUAAAAAUGGGAAGUCAAAAUAGGAAUGAGGUUGACAUGAGUUAUAGUGUUUCAACCAUACAAAUAUACUGUAUCGCUCAGUAUGACGCAUGUCUCAAGCUAACCAAAUGUUCUCAUAUUUCUCCUCAUUGUGUACUUGUCAAUAAAUGGCCAGUUCAAAUAAGGGCAGGGAGUGCAAAUUGUUAAUCCACAGCAAUGACAAUGCCUUCUUCCAAUACUGAAGCACCUUGCAUUUGGCUGACCCAGCAGACACAUGUCACAGAAAAGGCCCGGUGGUAAAUUCCAAUUAUUGAGGAUGUAAUUCAGCAAAACAUUUUAAAUGCUGUGAGGUUUCUAAUACUAAAUUAAUAAUUGGUGGUGGAAAGAGGGAAUCAGAAAGUGAGUAUGGUAUCCCUUUCCAAGACUGGAGUACUUCAAUGCUUCUCAUGGCCCCAGGAGGACAACCCAGCAGAAUAUUGCAGGGUUAAUCUGUUUUCUUUUUCAGUAUUGCACAUAUAUUAUGGCUGCUGCCAAUAUCCGAUUAUCAGAGAACAAAAAGUUCCUGCUAAGCCAGCUCUUCUCAGCACUGUGCCUGCUGUUCUACAGCAGGGAUCUAUGCUUUUCCCUGUUCCUUAUUUCCACAAUGCAGAAUAUGCAGCGUUAGACCUUGUAAUUCAAAUAGUAACAAAACAAAGUUUUUAUUUCUGUGUCUCUUUAAGAUUUGGACUCAACUCCAGCUGGAGUUUGAGAAACCUGUAAAGCAGAGAGAUAAAGAGUUCAGUAUCCCAGGAUUCAUUUCCCAGAUGAUUUUAUUAUUCCCCAGAAAUACUUUUCUAACAUGUUCAGGAUUCAUGCCUCCACAUAUGCAUUCAUAAGAAUAGAUUUUGCAUGCAUUCUAACACUCCUUUGACAAGGGUUCACUGGUAGCUGUGUGGAAAUCUCUUGACUUGUUUCUUAAGUUUUUUGUUCCAGGAAAGCCAUACCCUGAGGACAGCCUAUAUACCGGUAACCCAAUAUGACUUCACAACACAUCUACUAAAAGGCUCUUCAGCAGACACCAAAUGACUGGAGAAAUGACAGCCGCAGAUGAUUGACACUAAUUCUGUAAAAAUUUCCAGAGGUGUAGUCACAUAAGUCUCUUGCAGCAAAAAAACAAAGGGUCUUGUGGCAUCUUAAAAACUGAUUAUGGCAUAAGCCUUUGUGGGCUGACAAGUGGCUUUGCAUCCCAAAGAGCUCCUGCUGUAAUAAAUUUGGUAGGGUGGUAUUCAACUAUGCUUCAUUCAGAAUCAACCCACUGAAAAUAAUGAACAUGUCUAAGUUACGUCCAUUGAUUUCAGUGAGUUUACUCCAAGUAAAACAUAGUUACUGUACAUAUCACCCUUUGGCUGCAAUCCUAUACCCCUUAACUGGAAGUAAGUUCCAUUGACCUUGUUGAGCCUUACUUCUGAACAGCAGACAAGUUUAGGAUUGUGUUGUUAGUCUUUAAGGUGCUACAAGCCACUUUAUUUGCUUUUUAUUUUUAUUUUUUUAAAAUGAGGCUGUCUAGUUUAAAAUAAAUUAAAGUUAGUAAUAAAUGUUGGAAAUGUAAAGAAAAAGAAGGAGCAUUUUAUCACAUGUGGUGGGAAUGUAAGAAGGUGAAAAGCUUCUGGGAAAUGAUAUAUAAUGAGAUGAAAAAAAUGUUGAAAUACACAUUUAUAAAGAAACCAGAAGCAUUUUUACUGGGCAUUGUAGGAAGUGAUAUAAGUAGAAAAGAUUGUAAGCUGUUUUUAUAUGCAACGACGGCAGCAAGAAUAUUAUUGGCACAAAAAUGGAAGCAAGAAGAAUUACCGACGAAAGAAGAACGGAGGAUGAAAUUAAUGGACUAUGCAGAACUAGACAAAUUAACAGGAAGGAUUCGAAAUCUGCAGGACCUGAAAUUCACAGAAGACUGGUGUAAAUUUACAGACUAUUUGAAAAGUAAUUGUGAUGAUCAGAUUACGUUUGUAGGUUUGCAAGAAGUUUUGUGAGGUGAAUUAUUGGUACUACUGCAAAAAUGGAUAAAGGGGAGGAUCGUUAGUUAGGAUACUUAAAGGCAAUAUGAACUUAAGAAAUGCAUAAGAAGUGAUAAAAACAGUGGAUCAUCAGAGGUGCUGAUGGAAGUCCAAAAAAAGAUUGUAUAAGUGGUG